CCUUGACGGAUUUCUUCGGAUUGAAGCCUUGGUGACUGAGCGGCGGACGGGUGAGUAACGCGUGGGUAACCUGCCUCAUACAGGGGGAUAACAGUUGGAAACGGCUGCUAAUACCGCAUAAGCGCACAGUACCGCAUGGUACGGUGUGAAAAACUCCGGUGGUAUGAGAUGGACCCGCGUCUGAUUAGGUAGUUGGUGGGGUAACGGCCUACCAAGCCGACGAUCAGUAGCCGACCUGAGAGGGUGACCGGCCACAUUGGGACUGAGACACGGCCCAAACUCCUACGGGAGGCAGCAGUGGGGAAUAUUGCACAAUGGGGGAAACCCUGAUGCAGCGACGCCGCGUGAGCGAUGAAGUAUUUCGGUAUGUAAAGCUCUAUCAGCAGGGAAGAAAAUGACGGUACCUGACUAAGAAGCCCCGGCUAACUACGUGCCAGCAGCCGCGGUAAUACGUAGGGGGCAAGCGUUAUCCGGAUUUACUGGGUGUAAAGGGAGCGUAGACGGCAUGGCAAGCCAGAUGUGAAAGCCCGGGGCUCAACCCCGGGACUGCAUUUGGAACUGUCAGGCUAGAGUGUCGGAGAGGAAAGCGGAAUUCCUAGUGUAGCGGUGAAAUGCGUAGAUAUUAGGAGGAACACCAGUGGCGAAGGCGGCUUUCUGGACGAU
rnacentral:rRNA from 1 species